rnacentral:rRNA from 1 species
GACGAACGCUGGCGGCGUGCCUAAUACAUGCAAGUCGAACGAGAGCGACCGGUGCUUGCACUGGUCAAUCUAGUGGCGAACGGGUGAGUAACACGUGGGUAACCUGCCCAUCAGAGGGGGAUAACAUCCGGAAACGGAUGCUAAAACCGCAUAGGUCUUCGGACCGCAUGGUUUGAAGAGGAAAAGAGGCGCACGCUUCUGCUGAUGGAUGGACCCGCGGUGCAUUAGCUAGUUGGUGAGGUAACGGCUCACCAAGGCCGUGAUGCAUAGCCGACCUGAGAGGGUGAUCGGCCACAUUGGGACUGAGACACGGCCCAAACUCCUACGGGAGGCAGCAGUAGGGAAUCUUCCGCAAUGGACGCAAGUCUGACGGAGCAACGCCGCGUGAGUGAAGAAGGUUUUCGGAUCGUAAAACUCUGUUGUUAGAGAAGAACAAGUGCUAGAGUAACUGUUAGCGCCUUGACGGUAUCUAACCAGAAAGCCACGGCUAACUACGUG